GGAGCUGAAGCCAUUCAUAGGGUGACACGUCCCAGGCGGGGCUGCCAGCCUUUAUUAGGGGACGGGAUUCUUGGCUCGGGGUCUCCGCUCUGGCGAGAAUAUAGCGCGGGACAUCUGGUGCCGAAACCCGGGAACUUGUUAACAUCGCCGGCACUGCGGAGACCCCUCUAACGGGGCGGAUUCAGAACUGCAGGGUGGUAAAUUCGGAGAGGUAUGUCUUUUCUGGACUUUGGCUUGGGAAUGUUGCUAUUUUGGGAGGUUAGUGUAGAGGCUUCUGUGCUUUUACUAGGAGCCAUUUUGACCUUUCUCACUGUUGUAGCAAUCUUAAAAAAGUCCAGAAUUACAUGUCAGAAACCGAAUGUAGUGAGAGAUGGGGCGCGCCCAACAAUAAAAUAUAAGGAAAAAGGACCUCCCGGGAUGUCUAAUAACAAGGGAGUGUGUAUAAGAAGAGAAACAGCAACGAAUAAGGAAAAAGGACCUCCCGGGAUGUCUAAUGACAAGGGAGUGAGUAAUUUGUUAGAUGAUUCUGUAAAUAAGUUUAAAGCUUUAAAUCUUGAUAGCUCUGAUGACUCUAAAAGCUCAAGAGAUAAAGUUUUAGAGGAAACAGCUCAGCUAGGUGAAAAAGAAACAAAAAAGGAGGGAGAGAAAAUAGGGGAUAACCGGUCACACCCCGGUAAAUUUAAGAGACCUGUUAAUCCAGCGGGUGUACUUCCAUCAACACCCCCAUUAUUUGGUACUGACUCCUUUUUACCAUUAGAGGAGCGGAGAAAAUUGCAGAUGGCUUUCCCAGUCUUUGAUAGGGGAAAAGGCCGCGCAUGUUAUUCAACACUUCUUGGAGGCCUGGAAUGCCUGGGGCUUUAAAGCCUCAUAAACAUUGACGCUCAGGGCCAUACUGCGGCCAAGCGUCACACCUCAGAACCUGAAAGGCCAAAGGAAAUGGUAAAAUGGAAAGAUAUCUUAACUGGUCUUUGGAGAGGCCCGGAUCCUAUUCUCAUAAGAUCCAGGGGAGCUAUAUGUGUUUUUCCACAGGAUGAAGAGAAUCCCCUGUGGAUCCCGGAAAGACUCACACAAAGAGCCCCUUCGGACCUUCAAAAGUCGGAACUCCACCCUCUCCCCGGGAGUUAAGAGCCGCUAUUAUCCAGAUUAACUCCUGUCCUUGACGGAGAGAUUGUCAUCAUAGAUAGCUUCAGCUGUCUCCUAUUUUAAGGAAAUGGGUGGAGGUGGGAUUGUUUGGUGCAGCCGUUUGCUGCGGAUUGAUGUUGCUUCUCUGGCUGGUCUGUAAGCUCAGGGCUCAAACUAAGAGAGACAAGGUGGUUAUCGCCCAAGUGCUUGUAGCUUUGGAACAAGGGGCUUCCACUGAUAUUUGGCUAACUAUGCUUAAGCAAUAGGCCGCCGGCCAGACAGCUCUUGCACACCCGGAGCCUAGGCUCAUUGCACAGGGUAGAGUGCCUGGUUUGAGCAGCCCAUGAGGGAUGUUGAGCAAGGCAUCGCACAGAGAGUUGCCCAGUAUACAGGCUUCUCUGGGAGGCAUGUUGUCCUGCAUAAGGGUUGCCUGCCCUAGUCUCCCUUUCCCAGAAAAACGGCAGAGGACAGGUCGAGAGCGCUUCGGGUCAAGCUAACAGCCUGAUGGCGACUCUUGUACACAGUCUUAAUGUUUGAUUGGGAAGGUACAACCUCUGCCUCUAUCCCUCAACAUAUGGGUGACCUAUUUGCUUGUAAAAAUAUAAAGCCUUAUCAUUAAUUAAUAAAAAAAGGGGGAUCUGUAGGGAGCCGUCCCUGCAUUCUCCAUUACAAUGAUGGUGCCUGCAGGCACUGAAUGUAAAUUAUUUCACAGGCGCUGGGUAAUUUUCCAUUUCCUUGAUCUCUGCCUAUCCCGUGGCUCAUAUGGCCUGAGGAGCUGAAGCCAUUCAUAGGGUGACACGUCCCAGGCGGGGCUGCCAGCCUUUAUUAGGGGACGGGAUUCUUGGCUCGGGGUCUCCGCUCUGGUAAGCUUAUGCUCUCCUCUCUCAAGAUGCAUUAAAGCUUUCCUGCAGAAGGAUCCGAAUGUCCUGUGUGAUUCUUGCAGGCGAGAAUAUAGCGCGGGACAAUCAUACAGGGAUUGUGGUGUUAAGACUACCCUCCUGGGCUGGAGAGAUGGCUCAGAGGUUAACAACACUGGCUCUUCUUCCAGAGGACCCAGGUUCAACUCCCAGCACCCACAUGGCAGCUCACAGUUGUCUAUAAUUCCAGUUCCAGAGGAUCUGACACCCUCACACAGACAUACAUGAAGGUAAAACAUCAAAG
ensembl:lncRNA